UACGAGGGGGGCAAGUGUUGUUCGGAAUCACUGGGCGUAAAGGGAGCGUAGGCGGAUGUUUAGGUUGGAUGUUUAAAACCGGGGCCUAACCUCGGAGCGGCAUCCAAAACUGGGCAUCUUGAAUAGGUCAGAGGCUGGUGGAAUUGGAGGUGUAGCGGUGGAAUGCGUAGAGAUCUCCAAGAACACCUAUUGCGAAGGCAGCCAGCUGGGACCAUAUUGACGCUGAGGCUCGAAAGCAUGGGGAGCAAACAGG
rnacentral:rRNA from 1 species